UACGAAGGGGGCUAGCGUUGUUCGGAUUUACUGGGCGUAAAGCGCACGUAGGCGGAUCGUUAAGUCGGGGGUGAAAUCCUGGAGCUCAACUCCAGAACUGCCUUCGAUACUGGCGAUCUUGAGUCCGGAAGAGGUGAGUGGAACUCCUAGUGUAGAGGUGGAAUUCGUAGAUAUUAGGAAGAACACCAGUGGCGAAGGCGGCUCUCUGGGACGGUACUGACGCUGAGACGCGAAAGCGUGGGGAGCGAACAGG
rnacentral:rRNA from 1 species